rnacentral:rRNA from 1 species
AUUGAACGCUGGCGGCAGGCCUAACACAUGCAAGUCGAGCGGGGUUUUCGGACCUAGCGGCGGACGGGUGAGUAAUGCGUAGGAAGCUGCCCGAUAGAGGGGGAUACCAGUUGGAAACGACUGUUAAUACCGCAUAAUGUCUACGGACCAAAGUGUGGGACCUUCGGGCCACAUGCUAUCGGAUGCGCCUACGUGGGAUUAGCUAGUUGGUGAGGUAAUGGCUCACCAAGGCGACGAUCUCUAGCUGGUUUGAGAGGAUGAUCAGCCACACUGGAACUAGGACACGGUCCAGACUCCUACGGGAGGCAGCAGUGGGGAAUAUUGGACAAUGGGCGCAAGCCUGAUCCAGCCAUGCCGCGUGUGUGAAGAAGGCCUUCGGGUUGUAAAGCACUUUCAGCGAGGAGGAAGGGGUGUGUGUUAAUAGUACACACCUUUGACGUUACUCGCAGAAGAAGCACCGGCUAACUCUGUGCCAGCAGCCGCCGUAAUAC